rnacentral:rRNA from 1 species
GACGUAGGGCGCGAGCGUUGUCCGGAAUCAUUGGGCGUAAAGAGCGCGUAGGCGGCCCUGUAAGUCCGCUGUGAAAGUCAAGGGCUCAACCCUUGGAUGCCGGCCGAUACUGUCAGGCUAGAGUCCGGAAGAGGCGAGUGGAAUUCCUGGUGUAGCGGUGAAAUGCGCAGAUAUCAGGAGGAACACCUAUGGCGAAGGCAGCUCGCUGGGACGGUACUGACGCUGAGACGCGAAAGCGUGGGGAGCGAACAGG